rnacentral:rRNA from 1 species
GACGAACGCUGGCGGCGUGCUUAACACAUGCAAGUCGAACGAAGUGGCGAACGGGUGAGUAACGCGUAAUCAACCUGCCCUUCAGAGGGGGACAACAGUUGGAAACGACUGCUAAUACCGCACACUGAAGGAGGUGAUUGCGUUGGAUUAGCUGGUUGGGGGGGUAACGGCCCACCAAGGCGAUGAUCAGUAGCAGGUCUGAGAGGGUGACCGGCCACAUUGGGACUGAGACACGGCCCAGACUCCUACGGGAGGCAGCAGUGGGGAAUCUUCCGCAAUGGACGAAAGUCUGACGGGGCAACGCCGCGUGAGUGAUGACGGCUUUCGGGUUGUAAAGCUCUGUUGGUCGGGACGCGGUACCGGAAUAGAAAGCCACGGCUAACUACGUGCCAGCAGCCGCGGUAAUUC